rnacentral:rRNA from 1 species
CGAUGAAGGACGUGCUAAUCUGCGAUAAGCGCCGGUAAGGUGAUAUGAACCGUUAUAACCGGCGAUUUCCGAAUGGGGAAACCCAGUGUGACUCGUCACACUAUCAUUAACUGAAUCCAUAGGUUAAUGAGGCGAACCGGGGGAACUGAAACAUCUAAGUACCCCGAGGAAAAGAAAUCAACCGAGAUUCCCCCAGUAGCGGCGAGCGAACGGGGAGGAGCCCAGAGCCUGAAUCAGCAUGUGUGUUAGUGGAAGCGUCUGGAAAGGCGCGCGAUACAGGGUGACAGCCCCGUACACAAAAGCGCAUGUGCUGUGAGCUCGAUGAGUAGGGCGGGACACGUGGUAUCCUGUCUGAAUAUGGGGGGACCAUCCUCCAAGGCUAAAUACUCCUGACUGACCGAUAGUGAACCAGUACCGUGAGGGAAAGGCGAAAAGAACCCCGGCGAGGGGAGUGAAAAAGAACCUGAAACCGU